CGCGUAGCGCCAGGACGAGGUUAGAAAAGCCUUGUGGAAUAUUGUCUCCCGAACGCGUCGUGUGUCACGUCUAGUUCCCCUCGAACGCGUCGCGGCGCUGCCAGGCGGCAACGCUCCCACACUUCUACUCUCCCACUCCACUCCGCUUCUCUCGCACGCUAUUGGUCUAAUCGUCUACUUGUUACUCCCACUAUUCGACUCAGGUAAAAAUUAAACGUCAGAAAGCAAGGACGAGGAACGAGAAAACCGGUUGAGAAAAUAAAUAAGCCAGGGAAGACAGAAGCACGGUGCGUGGUCGUGGAAAGUGCUGGCUAAUUACAAAAAACUAGGAGAUCAUUAAAACGGAGAGGGUUCUUAUAUCCUGGUAUAAUUUUCUCUAGCGUACCAACCAACCACCACCAGGACCAGCAACGACCACUCUCCCCUCGACACCACCCCGACAAACUUUUUGUCCUCAAUUUUACGCUUUCGUCCGCUUCUCUUCACGUUUAAUUCCAUUUUAACCGAUUGUCUUCCAUCCGAAUUACGUACAUACGAUUUAAUACGUAGCUUUUAACGCAGCUAUUUUUCUUUCAAAUACAUAAUAAAAAAGAUCGAUGUAAUUUACUUUAAUGGUGCAAUCUAAUUGUAUGUUUAAUAUUUCAAUUGCUUUUUGAAAAACCACCGAAGUUAAAAUUGAACCGGAAAUUAUUUAAAGUCUCGUAUAAUUGCGAAAAUUAACAAGUAGUCAUUUUUUUAAAUAUUGCAAUACUAGGCCGAAAGGAUGCAAUAAAGAAAAAUUAUAGAAUAUAAAUUUGGAAUAAAUUUAUAAAGCAGCCAUCGUAUGCUCGACGAUAAUUACGUUAUUUAUAUUUAUUGUACUAGUAUAUCGCAAAUAAUGUUGAUUCCCAAAUCUCACCACCUGCGUACGAGUUCUCAAAUUUUUCCAACUAAUAAAUUUAUUAACCCUUUCGUUACUGCACGCUUUAACGCGAGUAUCGUUCGAUAUAAACUCGCCUAUACAUUCGUACCGUCGAAUAUUACAACCGCUAUAUGGGUCGCUGAUAACGAAAAAGGUCUCGAGUACAAAGGAUUAAUAUAAUCUGAAAAAAAUUAAAAAAUAUAUAUUGGAUCGUUCAAUUAUGUAUACGAGUAUUGAAAUUUAAUAUGAAAUAAAGAAUAGGAUGACGAGA
rnacentral:lncRNA from 1 species